AUCCUUUCCGGGUCGGGUGUCUGUCUGCACAGAGUGGCGACAGAGUGCUCCGUGCCCCGUCCCCCUUUUUGCUCUUGGGUCCUCUCAACCGGUGCGGCUGUAGGCUGGUGGUGGCGCCGGUGGUGUGGGUGGUGGUGGUCUUCUUCGUGUGUCGUGUCCCAUUGGAUUGUUGUGCUAUCACUGGGUGAACUCUGGUUUGGUUUUCUCUAAGUUUGUUCUAUUAAUUUUCCUUCCCCUUCACCGGUGCUUCUCACCAUUAGGCCUUAGCGAUUAGUUUUCUUUUCUUAUUUUGUGAGAAAUGUUAGAUUUUACGGAAAUGUAUAUUUAUUGAAUAAAAAUGUUUUUGUAACCUGGGAACCACGAGCCCUUGCCUGUUGAGUGAAACGAACCCGCGUGCUUUAAAAGGUCUUGGGCCUAUCCCAAGUGGCGUUGCCGGUAGAAUAGGGAACCAUUUCGCCACAAAACUAAAUAUGAUUUUCUCAACGUCUGCUUCAGGGCCAAACAUUUUAACAUAUACUAGUGGAAACAAUUAAAACCGAGUAGGGACUAAAACUAUAGAUGUUUAUUGGACCAUAACAAAUGAAUAAUAACCAAUGUAUACUUAGCAUGUGAUGGAC
ensembl:lncRNA